GAACUCAAAGAUCUAAGACUUUUCCUAUGUACACAAAAUGCCUAUUUCUCUCAACACAGAUUUAGACAGAUUUGUGAACAAUAUUUGAGAGAAAUAGGCCUUUUGUGUACAUAGAAAAAGUCUUAGAUCUUUGAGUUC